rnacentral:lncRNA from 1 species
UGGCUUCUUGUAAAGAGCAUCCAUAUCUUUCUCAUGUUUACCAAAAAUUUUAAAAGGAAUUGUCUGAUUCAUAAAUGACCCGAAUUCAAUAUUUACAAAAUACCCAAGGAUAAAGAUAUCGCUGAAAUCACCAUAGUUAGAAAAACACUCUUAUUAUCAAAUAAAAUAAAAUAUACGACAAUGAAGAUGUAGAAACACCAAAAAUAUAAUGGUCUAUUCAAAUUUCUAUGUGUGCUGUAAAUUACUAAAAUUAAGAAUCUAAGGACAAAAAUUACAUAAUAAAAUCAGACAAGUAAAGAGCUUAAAUCUGUAUAAUCAUAUUAACAAACAUGCAAAUCAAAAAGGGAAGACAUUAACGCAUGAACAUUCACAAAGAAGAAGGAAGAAUGACACCAUAAUUUUGUUGCCUAUUGUCAUUGACCAGAGAUGUUAGUUGUUGCUGGCGUUG